rnacentral:rRNA from 1 species
UAUGCUUAGCCUUAAACCUAAAUAAUUUUAUAACAAAAUUAUUCGCCAGAGAACUACAAGCCAGAGCUUAAAACUCAAAGGACUUGGCGGUGCUUUAUACCCGCCUAGAGGAGCCUGUUCUAUAAUCGAUAAACCCCGAUAAACCUUACCACUCUUUGCCAACUCAGCCUAUAUACCGCCAUCUUCAGCAAACCCUAAAAAGGGACAAAAGUAAGCUCAAUCAUCACCAUAAAAACGUUAGGUCAAGGUGUAGCCUAUAGAGUGGAAAGCAAUGGGCUACAUUUUCUACUUUAGAACACACGAAAGCCCCUAUGAAACCCUAGAGACCAAAGGAGGAUUUAGCAGUAAAUUAAGAAUAGAGUGCUUAAUUGAACAAGGCCAUGAAGCACGC